AAAUCGAUAUAUAUCGGUUGUCUGUCCACACGUAUUGUAUGAAUCUAGUUCUUUAACAAAAAGGGAAAAGAAGAAGCAAAGCAUUUAGCGCUGGCUAAAGUAUCUUGCGUCUUAAUCUGCAUGCUGCGAAAGCGGGGUGUGGUUGAGGUGUAAAGAGAAAAGGUCAAGCUCGAGAUGGUUGUUUUUUUGGGCUGUAUGGCCUGAAAGGCAAGCAUUGUGAGUGAGAGUGUUAAAGGUUAUAU
rnacentral:misc_RNA from 1 species